rnacentral:rRNA from 1 species
GACGAACGCUGGCGGCGUGCCUAAUACAUGCAAGUUGAGCGCUGAAGGUUGGUACUUGUACCGACUGGAUGAGCAGCGAACGGGUGAGUAACGCGUGGGGAAUCUGCCUUUGAGCGGGGGACAACAUUUGGAAACGAAUGCUAAUACCGCAUAAAAACUUUAAACACAAGUUUUAAGUUUGAAAGAUGCAAUUGCAUCACUCAAAGAUGAUCCCGCGUUGUAUUAGCUAGUUGGUGAGGUAAAGGCUCACCAAGGCGAUGAUACAUAGCCGACCUGAGAGGGUGGUCGGCCACAUUGGGACUGAGACACGGCCCAAACUCCUACGGGAGGCAGCAGUAGGGAAUCUUCGGCAAUGGACGAAAGUCUGACCGAGCAACGCCGCGUGAGUGAAGGAGGUUUUCGGAUCGUAAAACUCUGUUGGUAGAGAAGAACGUUGGUGAGAGUGGAAAGCUCAUCAAGUGACGGUAACUACCCAGAAAGGGACGGCUAACUACGUGCCAGCCGCCGCCGUAA